AACAGGGAGCAACUUGGAUCAGAUCGGGUAACUCAGAAAUAAGGAAGCAGUUCUCAAGCUCAUGUGACUUCUUUUGUCAAGGAAUCAGUCUGAAAUCAUAAAUAAAGUUUGCAAAGCGAAGAUUAUGAAUAA
rnacentral:lncRNA from 1 species